UACGGAGGGUGCAAGCGUUGUCCGGAUUUAUUGGGUUUAAAGGGUGCGUAGGCGGCCUAUUAAGUCAGUGGUGAAAUCUCUCAGCUUAACUGGGAAACUGCCAUUGAUACUGAUAGGCUUGAGUAUAGUAUAGGUAGGCGGAAUUGAUAGUGUAGCGGUGAAAUGCAUAGAUAUUAUCAAGAACACCAAUAGCGUAGGCAGCUUACUAGACUAUAACUGACGCUGAGGCACGAAAGUGUGGGUAUCGAACAGG
rnacentral:rRNA from 1 species